rnacentral:rRNA from 1 species
GAUGAACGCUGGCGGCGUGCUUAACACAUGCAAGUUGAACGAAGUGGCGGAUGGGCGAGUAACACGUGAGGAAACUGCCUUUCACCGGGGAAUAACACUGGGAAACCAGUGCUAAUACCGCAUAGUGAAAGAUGGCCUCGCGCCUGAUUAGCUAGUAGGUGGGGUAAUGGCUCACCUAGGCGACGAUCCCUAGCUGGUCUGAAGGAUGAUCAGCCACACUGGGACUGAGACACGGCCCAGACUCCUACGUGAGGCAGCAGUGGGGAAUAUUGCACAAUGGCGAAAGCCUGAUGCAGCGACGCCGCGUGGGGGAUGAAGGCUUUCGGGUUGUAAACCUCUUUCCAUCGAACAGGGUAGGUGGAGAAGAAGCGCCGGCUAACUACGUGCCAGCAGCCGCGGUAAUUC